rnacentral:rRNA from 1 species
AACGAACGCUGGCGGCAUGCCUAACACAUGCAAGUCGAACGAGACCUUCGGGUCUAGUGGCGCACGGGUGCGUAACGCGUGGGAACCUGCCCUUAGGUUCGGAAUAACUCCCCGAAAGGGGUGCUAAUACCGGAUAAUGUCUUCGGACCAAAGAUUUAUCGCCUUUGGAUGGGCCCGCGUUGGAUUAGCUAGUUGGUAGGGUAAAAGCCUACCAAGGCGACGAUCCAUAGCUGGUCUGAGAGGAUGAUCAGCCACACUGGGACUAGGACACGGCCCGGACUCCUACGGGAGGCGGCAGUGGGGAAUAUUGGACAAUGGGCGAAAGCCUGAUCCAGCAAUGCCGCGUGAGUGAUGAAGGCCUUAGGGUUGUAAAGCUUUUUUACCCGGGAUGAUAAUGACAGUACCGGGAGAAUAAGCUCCGGCUAACUCCGUG